GAUCCCUUAAAAUCUCAUACCGUAAAAUUUGUUUACAGCCUUACAGGAUACCCAAAAUGUUUUUUUUACAUUUUACAGUAUGACUUUUGUUCCGUUAGAACAGAUUCCAUAAAAGAAAUCAUGAUGCCGGCAAAAUUGCAUAAACCCCCCUAAAAGCUUAAUCUAAAUUACAAUUAGGUCCUCAUGUAACUUAGACUAAGCUGUUGAUUCCCAGGCUAGCGGCACAAACAGUUGAUUCCCAAGCCGCACCCGCGUCGGCCGAGCUCUUGUUGUCGUACCCGCGUCGGCCAGUCGAGCUCUUGCCGCCGCGCCCGCGUCGGUCGUGUUCUUGUUGCUGCACCGGCCGAGCUCUUGCUGUCAUGCCCUUGCUGCUGUGCCGCCAAUGAUGUGUCGAGCUAUUGCUGGUGCAACCGUGCCGGCCAACCGAGCUCUUGUUUUCGCACCCGAGUCGGCGGCUGAGCUCUUAUUGUCGCGCCCGCGGUCGAGCUCCACCCGUGACUCAUCUUGGCCCACUCGGGGAACUAUUGGCAGAUACCGCGCUGGCCUGAGAGGUCGGGGUAGCCACGCGGGGGCAAAGCGGCGGCGACCAUGGUGGGGCACCGGCAGCGCCGACGAGAUGCGGCGGCUUCUCUAUUUGGCCAGAGUCGAGCUCGGGAGAUGGCGUCGCCGGCUGCGACUGAAGUGGUUGGGCUGAAAUUUCCCUCCCGCUAGGCCUCAAAGGGAUAGAGGAAAUUGUAAAAGAG
rnacentral:rRNA from 1 species